UACAGAGGGUGCAGGCGUUAAUCGGAAUUACUGGGCGUAAAGGGUGCGUAGGUGGUUUGUUAAGUCAGGCGUGAAAUCCCUGGGCUCAACCUGGGAACUGCGUUUGAUACUGGCAGACUCGAGUCUGGUAGAGGGUAGUGGAAUUCCGCAUGUAGCGGUGAAAUGCGUAGAUAUGCGGAGGAACACCGAUGGCGAAGGCAAUCCCCUGGACCUGUACUGACGCUCAUGCACGAAAGCGUGGGGAGCAAACAGG
rnacentral:rRNA from 1 species